UGCUGAAGUAAACAAGGUGUGAUAUUAUUUUUGCUCCUCUUUAUCUAUUGAUAAUAUCAUCUUAUGUUAAGAUGAGCCGAAUCAAUAUCACUCUUGUAUACUUUCCU
rfam:Lupinus angustifolius cultivar Tanjil chromosome LG15, whole genome shotgun sequence.